UUGUCCAACCCCACCCCAACAAGAACCACCAAUAAUAUUCACGAAUCAUGUGCGAUUGAAAGUAAUGUUAAAAAUAUGAUAAUAUAUCAAUAUGUUUAAGUGCAAACGAAAAAUAGUGUACAUCAUCGUAAGGAAGAGAUUAAGGUGUUUAUUAGAGUGCGCGUUCGGGCUCCCUUAACCCCGUUGACACUGGUGAGUUAUGGGUCUGUUUAGUGUUUACAUUGUUCACCCGCACCGGGACGUCCAUCACCCCUUCAAGGUUUACAUCAUUUUCACAUGGCAUUUGCGGCAUAUCUGGAACUCCUCGAUCUUGUGGGUCAAGUUGAGGAGGUGAGGCUUCCCAGAGUUGUUCCCAGAGACCGGCAAAACCCAUUCACCUGUCUCUCUGAGGAGGACUUCAUAGAUCGCUACCGUCUCUCACCAGCUUGCACACUCCAACUGCUUGAGAAUGUACAGCCCCAACUACCCAGAGCACGAGAUGGCAGAGGCUGCAGUGUUCCUGGUCACCUGCAGCUUCUUGUAGCAUUACGCUACUUUGCCAGCGGGAACUUCCAGUUAACCAUGGCAGACUGUUUGGAGAUGUCUGCUUCUUCAGUCUGCAAAUUUGUUCACCGCAUAGCUGUUAUACUAGCACGCAUGUCACCUAAUUACAUCAAGUUUCCUGAACCUGCCAAUACACGUCAGGUAGCAGAGGACUUUCAUGCUGUCGCUGGCAUGCCUGGUGUCAUCAGCUGUAUUGAUGGAACAUUGAUUCCAAUUGUGAGUCCUGGCGGAGACACUGCAGAAUUAUACCGCUGUAGGAAGGGUUACCUCGCCCUAAAUGUCAUGGCAGUUUGCGAUGAAAAAAUGCGUUUCACUAAUGUCAUUAGUAGUUGGCCAGGAAGUGUCCAUGACAGCCGCAUUUUUGAUAAUUCUAGGCUUUGUCAGAAAUUAGAAUAUGAAGGUUACUCAGGUUAUCUUUUGGGAGAUUCAGGGUACGCAUGCAAGUCUUACUUGUUGACUCCGGCACUGGAUCCCCAAACUGAACAAGAAAACAGAUAUAAUGCAUCACAUAUACGCACACGCAACACUGGAGGAAUCUG